UUAUAGGUAUUAUUACACAAAAGGGAAAAAUUUUUGCAUGCAUAAAAUUGCAUAGAUUUUGUGGUUGACCUGGUUUACUUUUACAGACAUCCUGGAAAAUUAAAAGUUUUAGAAUUUGUGCAAAAAUAUUAAGAAAUAUUAAGAAAUUAAUGACUGAGAGAAGUUUAACUUUUCUUAAAUGGGAUUGUUUACAGCCGAUUUUAUUAAGGGGUGAAAACCCCUUUAUGGAAAUGUCUUGUCCGUCUGUCCGUCCGUCCGUCUGUCCGUCCGUCCGUCCGUCUGUCCGUCUGUAUCCACGAUAACUUUAGAAUGGUUUCGUAUUUCGGCAUGCGGUUUCCGUCAACGUGUUUCUAAUUUUUGAAGUAUGGAUGAGUUCGAAGAUGGGCGUCGGAGGUGAUAAGGUCACGGCGCCACGGUGAUGAGAUAAACCGUCAAAUGUGUCGAAUUUUUUGUUUCGACCGUUUUAGACGUAGUUUUGGGCGAGGAUUUCGAAAAUGGACAUAGUUUUGACGUGCCGUGACCGUGUGACCUUGUAGACGACGCCAAAGUCGAAAGUUGUCGAAUUUUUUGUUGCCACCGUUUUAGACGUAUUUUUUAGCGGGGAUUUCAGAAAUCGCCAUCAUUUCGACGUGCGACGACUCCAUGACCGGGUGGGAGGUGUCGAAUGUCGAAAAAAUUACUUUUGUCAUGUGGGGUGUUGUUUUUAAUCGUAAAUAAAUUCCUAAGAGGUGCGUGAGUUGUAAAUUCACGUUAGUUAAUUAUGAGUGUGUGUUUGUUGAGUGUAGCGCAACUUGAAUUACUGUGCACCAAAUUCUAGCAUAAAGCUCUAUGGCUGUGUAAAUGAUUCGUAGACAACUUCAAUUGGUUAAUUUUAUAUUAAUAGUAACUGGUUUAUUUCUGGUUUAAUUCAUAAGUACAUACAGACUUGCAUGAUACUAUUUCUAUUAUUAAUGGUUAAUAUGGGGUAAUGUGAUACGUUAAUUUCUUAUGGGUAAACUGAUACAAUUCCUAUGGGUAAUUUGAUACUAAUAAUUUUGCAAUCUCAAUUUCUCAUUUGAGGCAAUGUGAGACUUGCGAUUCACUCUUGUGCAGAACAACCCUGUGUUACAAAAAUAUUAAAUGGGCGUUACGCGGGCUCUGGUCCGUGGCUACCUUUAUACUGCAGAGCGGACGGAAAAGCACCCGUGUAUGCUAACUAAUACAUUCCAUUUUCCAACUAAAAAUAAAUCUAUUUGCAAGUUAUGCAAGUUAUGUAAGUUACAUAAAUACCGUUGUUUGUUCAACAUUGGAACAAAUACAUGCAUACAUAACUUACUACCAUUUUACCUGUUUAGAAAACUGCAAAACUGGACAACUCAAUCUACAUAAGAUGAGUUUGCAAGAUGUGAAAGCGAUGCAGCGUAACAUACCUGCCAUCACUUCCGCAUAUACAUUGAUUUGCAUGUUUCUACUGAAAUACCUAUGUAAAUUGCGCUAAAUCUGCAUCUUAAAUGCAGACUGACAAAACAAUGCAAUCUACACAUUCCAACUCCAAAUACAUUCAUAUUCCUACAUAUUAGGAAUCUGAACGGGUGUCUAUUGAAAGGAAUUGUCGUGUACGUUUGAAGUACGCGGGUGGGGGUGUCAAAACGGGGCAAAAUGAGACGCGGGGUAAUGUGAGACAAUGACGGGAAAGUGCAGAGAGACGUUGUGGGCGUUCCACAAAGACAAUUCCGUGUGUUUUCACCCCUUUGCUACAUUUCGUUUGCAACGGUUUAUUAAUAUUGUGCUUUAUAAAUAUAUCGAAGCGAUUAAAAGGCUUUCUGAAGUUUUGGAGCCAAUGGGAUAAGCAAUCCGACGUCCGAACAGUUUGUUGUCUUUGAUAAACUUCCAAAGAGCGUCCCCCCUGACGUAUUUACCAUUCCGACUGUUCGAGAUUUAUUCUGAUUGCCAGUACGAGAUUUAUUCUGAAAUAUAUAUUUUCAACUUUUGCAUGUCAUAAUAAAUUGAGUCAUUCCUCAGAAAAGUUUGACCUAAAAAUUUCUCCUAAAACUGCUGAUGCAAUGUCAGCAAUUUUUAGCUGUUUUGUGAACGAGAAGACUAUUGGUAAGUUUUAUGUACACUUAUUAAAAUUGUGUAAAUUAUAAAUACCAAAUUAAUUGAAAAGUGAAAGUUUCCCAGUUUGGCAAACGGUACAGACUUUCGAAUGCGUCGGUAAUUCGUUUCACCCACUUUUACACCCUGCAUGAAAAUUAUGCCGACAAAAAAAAUUUUUACACAAAUUCGACAUUUGAACUUUUAUAUUUCUGAUUUUUUUUAUUUUAAAAAUAAAAUUUACCUACAAUUGCAGGGUUAAUUCAAUUUAUAAUAAUAAUAAUUAGCACACACUGAUGAAUAAAAAUACUAUUAACCAAUAUGAAUACAUUUAUAAAUGAAAUGUUAAAAGUUUUUUUUUUGCUGCCUACCAAAUUAAAACUAACAAAUUUGACAUUAAUGUAAAA